AUUGAACGCUGGCGGCAGGCCUAACACAUGCAAGUCGAACGAGUGGCGGACGGGUGAGUAAUGGAUGGGAAUCUGGCUGAUGGAGGGGGAUAACUACGGGAAACUGUAGCUACUACCGCAUACCAUCGGAUGAGCCCAGAUGGGAUUAGCUAGUUGGUGGGGUAACGGCUCACCAAGGCGACGAUCUCUAGCUGGUCUGAGAGGAUGACCAGCCACACUGGAACUGAGACACGGCCCAGACUCCUGCGUGAGGCAGCAGUGGUGAAUAGUGCACAAUGGGCGCAAGCCUGAUGCAGCCAGGCCGCGUGAAUGAAGAAGGCAUUCGGGUUGUAAAGUUCUUUCAGCGGGGAGGCGUUAACCGCAGAAGAAGCACCGGCUAACUCCGUGCCAUCAGCCGCGGUAAUAC
rnacentral:rRNA from 1 species